rnacentral:rRNA from 1 species
ACAGAUCGGCCUCUCAACAUGUAUGCGUGGGACCUGGAUGAAACGCUUAUUCUGCUCAUGGGCGCUAUGUAUGGGUCGUUUGCUGGGCAUUUUGAUGGCCUCAGUAUUCAUGAAAGAGGCACUGAAGUGGGCAAGCGUUGGGAGACCAUUGUUCUUGAACUCUGCGAUGAGCACUUUUUCUAUGAGGAGGUCAGUCAACACCUCGAAUCUUGUCUGCUGACAGCUUACUAG